UUAGCCGUCAACACAGACAGCUACCUCACCCUGCUGUCCGCCAGAGUAGUACAAGUGAAAAACUAGAAACUCAAAGGACUUGGCGGUACCCCACACCAACCUAGAGGAGCCUGUCCCGUAAUCGAUACUCCACGCUAAACCUAACCGGCUCUUGAUAAUCAGCCUAUAUACCGCCGUCGCCAGCCUGCCUAAUGAUAGACACACAGCAGGCACAAUAGCCCACACUAAUACGUCAGGUCAAGGUGUAGCUAAUGAGCCGGGCAAAGAUGGGCUACAUUUUCUUAAUCUAAAAGAAAACCACCACACACCCACUGAAAACUGGGCCCCAAGGCGGAUUUAGCAGUAAACCAGGUAAGCUAAACCUGAUUGAAGCCUG
rnacentral:rRNA from 1 species